CCGAAGUCGGUGAGGUAACCUUUUGGAGCCAGCCGCCGAAGGUGGGACAGAUGAUUGGGGUGAAGUCGUAACAAGGUAGCCGUAUCGGAAGGUGCGGCUGGAUCACCUCCUUUCUAAGGAAU
rnacentral:rRNA from 1 species